rnacentral:rRNA from 1 species
CAGCAGCCGCGGUAAUACGUAGGGUGCAAGCGUUAAUCGGAAUUACUGGGCGUAAAGCGUGCGCAGGCGGUUUGUUAAGACAGAUGUGAAAUCCCCGGGCUCAACCUGGGAACUGCAUUUGUGACUGGCAAGCUAGAGUCUGGCAGAGGGGGGUGGAAUUCCGCGUGUAGCAGUGAAAUGCGUAGAUAUGCGGAGGAACACCGAUGGCGAAGGCAGCCCCCUGGGCCAACACUGACGCUCAUGCACGAAAGUAUGGGGAGCAAACAGGAUUAGAUACCCCGGUAGUCCCUGUCUCUUAUAC